UACGGAGGGAGCUAGCGUUGUUCGGAAUUACUGGGCGUAAAGCGCGCGUAGGCGGCUUUGUAAGUUAGAGGUGAAAGCCUGGAGCUCAACUUCGGAAUUGCCUUUAAGACUGCAUCGCUUGAAUCCGGGAGAGGUGAGUGGAAUUCCGAGUGUAGAGGUGAAAUUCGUAGAUAUUCGGAAGAACACCAGUGGCGAAGGCGGCUCACUGGACCGGCAUUGACGCUGAGGUGCGAAAGCGUGGGGAGCAAACAGG
rnacentral:rRNA from 1 species